rnacentral:rRNA from 1 species
CCUGAGAAACCCGAAAGAUCGAAUGGGGAGAUUCAUCGUCAGCGGUACUGGUACGUGUGCGGUUCGCGAUGUCAGAGACUUAGGUCUUACGGCACGCGUCCGCAUGUUUUUUAUUGCCUGGUAUCGUCGGCGUGCACUUCUCCCCUAGUAGGACGUCGCGACCCGUUGGGUGUCGGUUUACGGCCCGGGUGGGUGACUGUCUCGUGUGCGCUUUAUCGCGUUACUGCGGGGCAGACCCCCGGUUGCCUGACCGGCUGCUCGGCGGUACUCGCAAGUUAUCUGGCCGCAAAAAUUUGAACUGCGUCCGGCCCGUCGCAAGCGAGGCGAGUGUUCCCGAAUGUUACGGAUCUAAUGCCGUCAUCGGGCCUAGCCAGCUGUUGGUUGACGGUGUCCUAGGACUGGCUAUAACAAUUAUGAUAACGGUCAGCGACGCUACUGCUUUGGUACUUUC